UAGGGAAUCUUCCGCAAUGGACGAACGUCUGACGGAGCAACGCCGCGUGAGUGAAGAAGGAUUUCGGUUCGUAAAACUCUGUUGUUAGGGAAGAAAAAAUGUAUAGUAACUAUAUACAAAAGAGACGGUACCUAACCAGAAAGCCACGGCUAACUACGUGCCAGCAGCCGCGGUAAUACGUAGGUGGCAAGCGUUGUCCGGAAUUAUUGGGCGUAAAGCGCGCGCAGGUGGUUUAGAAAGUCUGAUGUGAAAGCCCGCGGCUCAACCGUGGAGGGUCAUUGGAAACUAAUAAACUUGAGUGCAGGAGAGAAAAGGGGAAUUCCUAGUGUAGCGGUGAAAUGCGUAGAGAUUAGGAGGAACACCGGUGGCGAAAGCGGCUUUUUGGCCUGCAACUGACACUGAGGCGCGAAAGCGUGGGGAGCAAACAGG
rnacentral:rRNA from 1 species